UGUCCCUCCUAUCUCCUGAGGUGGGUGCAGAAGAAGAGUCCGAGGAGGGUGGAUAUGACAUCAAAAACAUCCUGCAGAAACCACAGUAUAGAAAUAAAACGAAUCACCCUGUGGAGACGGUUUCAGGAUGGAAAGAUGUAAAAAACAAACUUUUUAUAAACACCAAUCUUUUUCCUGAUUUCCUGUUAAGAUGUAGACUUUAUUUAAACUUCUAGAUCUCUCUCUCUCUCUCUCUCUCUCUCGCUCUCUCUCUCUCUCUCUCUCGGCGUGUCUUGACUCGACUUGACUUAACCCUCUGGAUGAAUCGCGGGCCAGCUGUUGACUAAUAGUCCACAUUCAGCGCUAAGAAAACAGCGUGUCACCACUCCACCCUGUGUCCUGAGUGUGGGUGGUGGGUGGUGGGAGCAGGGAGGGAGGUGCCGGCUGAGUAAAUGGGAUGGGGGUCGAGCAGGGGGGUGAAGCAGGACUUGUAGCUUUGUAUUGUUUGACUGACAGUGGGACAGCGUGGGGGAACGGGUGGUCCCGGCCCGGAGACAAUGCCUGAGAACACGCUGCCUCUCGGCUAAGCCCCCUUUGUGUGGCAGGGUGGGAAACCCCUUACAAAUGGCCGUCACUGGCAUGAUGCAUGCCUUUAUCAUGACUUGGGAAUCCGCUGCAUGAAAACACGGCCUGGUCUGGGAUGAGAUCUCGUUCUGCACGGACAGUUUUUAUGAGAUUAGGAUGUUGACAGACUCAUAGGUGUGAAAAUAAAACUCUGAGGAUUUACAGAUAUGCAAAGACGACUCCAGAAAAGAGUCUUUCUGCAAAACAUGACCCCAUUCGAUGGCAAUCAAGAUACUUCUGCUGGUACAACGUCUUAUCUGACACUUAAACCCUCAGAAAGUCAAGAUUUAGGCGCCUGACACAGUGUUAUCUGAGUUUAUAAUGAUUCCUUUAUGUCUUAAAUCGGCCCUCAGACCAAAAAAAAGGAAGUAGUCUCGAUCUGAAACAGUCAGCUAACAACAGAAAUGACUUAAGUUUUUGAAGGAUUCGAUCCGUUGAUUUUGAAAAUACUCAGAUCCCCUCCUGGUUGUUGCAGAAACACUCAGAGUUUAUCUGCCGGUCUAACGCAGCGAGUGGAUUUGUCAGUCAGUUAUAUUUACACUCUUGAUGAAGAUGCAACCGUACUCUUGUACAACUCCUGUUUCUAUAAAACCACGUCACAUCUGCUGCAGAUUGAUGACUUUUAUUUUGUUACUUAGCUCCUAUUCUUAUUUCCUGUUUUAUUUUGAAACUUCUCUCGUGUUUCCCGCUCCCUUGAUUACCAUGACGACCUCCUCUCGUUGUGUUAUAACCCUCGCUCCUCUUGCCUUUGUGCCAGUUGGUCUUGUUGGAAAGAUUCACACAAGAAUCACACCAAAAAAAUACAUUGUCCACACGGGGGCGCCAAAAUCAGUACAAAUAUAAAGUUCCUAACAGGAGCUUUAAACCUGUUUUCAGUCUGACAAUAACUGAUAAUUUUAGAAAGUAAAACACUGAUCUUGUGAUAAAAAUAAGUGACACCGUUUCAGAACAUAUCUUGUAUUAAAGUAAGGCUAAUAAUAGGGUGACCAUACGUCCUCUCUUACCCGGACAUGUUCUGGGUCCUGGGUUUUUGGGGGCUGUCCACAGGGUGUUAAUAAAAUCCUCAAAUGUCUGUGGUUUUGUAUGGAAGUUUUGAGUUUGUGUAGCGCGGACUAACUGAGUUAGAAGUGCGUAAAAAACACUGAUUUAAUGACAUCCCACCACGUUUUAACUUCAUCUGUGCGAGGGUGUAGGUGCAAAAACAGACCUGUUCACAUUAAACGUCACAAUUGACUGUUAAAAAUCAGCAUGCAGAUGGCCGAGCAGGUUAGACCACGGUCCCUGCAGUGGUCACAGGUUCGAGAUGGCCCUCUAUCUCUCUCUAUCUCCCCAUCUUUCACCCUAUUCUAUCAAUAAAAAGUAAAAAAUUGCCCCAAAAAAAUACUUUUAAAAAAUCAGCUUUGUCCACAGGGGGGCGCCAAAAUCAGCACAAAUAAAAAGUUCCCAACAGGAGCUUUAAACCUGUUUUUGGUUUGACAAAAACUGUCUAUUUAGAAAAUAAAACACUGAUCUUUUGAUAAAAAUUAGUGACCGAUUUGCAAGAAAUAUCUAAAGUGAGGCUAAUAAAAGACGGGUGACCAUACGUCCUCUUUUACCGGGACAUGUCCGGGGUCCUGGGUUCAAAUGUCCGGGAUUUUGUAUGGAAGUUUUGAAAGUCUGUAAAACACUUCACUUGCGCAACUCCAUCCUGCAUAGUCGUGUCCUCUCUGUGGGGAUCCAGAAUAUGGUCACCCGAGCUAAUAAUCCACCCUAAAUCAAAUAGUUAAAGGGAUAUUCCGGCGUAAAUGGGACAGGAUGAAGUUAAGUUUUUGUGACUUUGAGUGAAGUCAAAGUAUAUCUGAAUAAAACUGAUUUUUAAAGUUCUGGUUCUGUUAAAUCAGAGCAGAGAUGAGACGCUUUAAUUUGAAGUUUUAACCUACCGUCAUAUAAAACCCGCUCACUGUGAUUUAAUGACAUCCCACCACCUUUAAACUACAUCUGUCUCCAUUCAACGCUCCGUUUAAAAGCUCCAAUAAACAAACUGCUCAUCCAUUUUGUCGUUGACUUCCUCCAAACAGACUAACAAUGUGAAACUCAAGCCCGGCUUUGGGAGGAACACACCUCCUGAAGUUGAGGCUGUUUAUUCAGAAGCUUAGGAUUGUAUUCAGUGAGGAGGAGGUGAAGGAGGAGGAGGAGGAGGCAGAGGAGGAGGGGAGGGGACACGUUAGAGUAUCUGCUUACAUUCGGCCCAAUUAGCAACACAAUGGCGCAGGGAUUUACAGAGAAUCAAGUCUGCCUGUUUGUCAGCAUACAUCUGUUAAUUAUCAGUGUAAAUGAGGUCCCAAACAAUAAUUAUCAGCCACAAUCAGGUCAGGUGAAGAGGACCAGGAACUGUCAUUAAUUGUGUUUAAAAUGCUGACACCAAUUAGCGGCUCGAUCCGUCCCCCGUCCCCCGUCCCCCGCCGCCGCCGCCACCCACAGACCGCUCGCCCUGUUGUGGGGAUGAAACUCAUUACACUUCCUCCAGUGCACAGAGUGCCCAGUCAUACUGGUUCAGCUGGUCGGCCUUUCAGCUCCAGCUCACAGGAACACGCUGAGCGGUAAUGUAAUCUGGCAUGAGGUCAUGAAAUUCGUGGGCGAUUCGUUCCGAGCGUGGAAAACGAUACAGAGGGACUGGCGCUGAUAGCGAGCCUGUGAGAAAAACGGCGUAUGCAGAUGACCUCUGGGAGUUCAAAUGAAGUAGCAUUUGGAAGGUCGAUGUGGGUUUUUAAGACGCCAAACGCCGUCCUUGAGCGAGACAGUCGGUGGACGCCGCUUUGAUAAGAGAGAGAAAAACAAAGGAGGCGCAGAUUAAACCCAAACCUCGCCUGAUAAAGAAAGUUGACAGAAAGUUUCCCUCGGGUUUUAGUCGCUAAUAAACCUGCUCAGGUUGGCAGCAGAUGAGAGCGUGCAGACUCGCCCUGAUUCAUCAUCUUCCCCGCGAUGGGAGCGCCCACAGAGCAGGAAGUAUCUACAAUACGAGUCAAAUCCACAGAGGGAAUUUUCC